GAGUUUGAUCAUGGCUCAGGAUGAACGCUGGCGGCGUGCUUAACACAUGCAAGUCGAACGGAGUGCUCAUGACGGAGGAUUCGUCCAACGGAUUGAGUUACUUAGUGGCGGACGGGUGAGUAACGCGUGAGGAACCUGCCUCGGAGUGGGGAAUAACAGCCCGAAAAGGGUUGCUAAUACCGCAUGAUGCAGUUGGGCCGCAUGGCUCUGACUGCCAAAAGAUUUUAUCGCUCUGAGAUGGCCUCGCGUCUGAUUAGCUAGUUGGCGGGUAACGCCCACAAGCGACGAUCAGUAGCCGGACUGAGAGGUUGACCGGCCAC
rnacentral:rRNA from 1 species